UGACUAGGCCGGAUAAUCGCGGGGCAACCUGAGGAAAGUCCGAGCUCCACAGGGCAGAAUGCCGGAUAACGUCCGGUGAAGGCAACUUUAAGGCAAGUGCAACAGAAAGCAAACCGCCGCAUGUCGGUAAGGGUGAAAGGGUGAGGCAAGAGCUCACCAGUGGUUAAAGUAAUUGGCCAGCUGGGUAAACCCCAUUCGGAGCAAGACCAAGAAAGAGUGUUAAAAGGCGGCGGCCCGUCGCUGCUCAAUGGUAGGUCGCUUGAGUCCGCCGGUGACGGCGCGGAACCAGAUAGAUGAUUAUCAAGACAGAACUCGGCUUACAGGCUUAGUCGUAAA
rfam:Pseudoramibacter alactolyticus ATCC 23263 genomic scaffold SCAFFOLD1, whole genome shotgun sequence.